AAAUAAAUAUCCACGUGUCAUUUCCCCAGAUGAGCUGAAGUUCAGGAACUUAUGGGAGCAUGAAGAAGACAUCCGGUUUAAAGAAGAAGGAGCUGCUGACAUGAUGGGAAAUAGCCGACAUUCCACGCCAUUCUGACUCUGCAGAUUCACCAACCUAAGGAGGUUGCAUGAUUCAUUCCCCUUUUACACACCGGUUU
rnacentral:lncRNA from 1 species